GAUGAACGCUGGCGGCGUGCCUAAUACAUGCAAGUCGAGCGAACAGACGAGGAGCUUGCUCCUCUGACGUUAGCGGCGGACGGGUGAGUAACACGUGGAUAACCUACCUAUAAGACUGGGAUAACUUCGGGAAACCGGAGCUAAUACCGGAUAAUAUAUUGAACCGCAUGGUUCAAUAGUGAAAGACGGUUUUGCUGUCACUUAUAGAUGGAUCCGCGCCGCAUUAGCUAGUUGGUAAGGUAACGGCUUACCAAGGCGACGAUGCGUAGCCGACCUGAGAGGGUGAUCGGCCACACGGGAACUGAGACACGGUCCAGACUCCUACGGGAGGCAGCAGUAGGGAAUCUUCCGCAAUGGGCGAGAGCCUGACGGAGCAACGCCGCGUGAGUGAUGAAGGUCUUCGGAUCGUAAAACUCUGUUAUUAGGGAAGAACAAAUGUGUAAGUAACUAUGCACGUCUUGACGGUACCUAAUCAGAAAGCCACGGCUAACUACGUG
rnacentral:rRNA from 1 species